rnacentral:rRNA from 1 species
AGUAGGUCCCAAGGGUUUGGCUGUUCGCCAAUUAAAGGGGUACGUGAGCUGGGUUCAGUACGUCGUGAGACAGUACGGUCUCUAUCUACCGUGGGCGCAGGAAACUUGAGAGGACUCGUUCUUAGUACGAGAGGACCGGAAUGAACAUACCUCUGGUGUUUCUGUUGUUCCGCCAGGAGCAUUGCAGAGUAGCCAAGUAUGGAUGAGAUAAACACUGAAAGCAUAUAAGUGUGAAACUCGCCUCAAGAUAAGGUUUCCCUGAAGGGCACUUGUAGACUACGAGUUUGAUAGGUUGGAAGUGGAAGUACAGUAAUGUAUGAAGCUAACCAAUACUAAUUGCCCGUUCGGCUUGGUCAC